GUCUUCGUGGCCUAGUUGGUUAGGGCGUAGGUCUCAUACGCAUAUUCGCCAGCGAUCCUGUCUUGACAGGAGUCAACCUACGAGCAUUACUGUUCAGAAAUCCUAAGAUCGCGAGUUCGACUCUCGCCGAGGACA